rnacentral:rRNA from 1 species
CAAGGAUUCCCCUAGUAACUGCGAGUGAAGCGGGAAAAGCUCAAAUUUAAAAUCUGGCGGUCUUUGGCCGUCCGAGUUGUAAUCUAGAGAAGCGUCACCCGCGCUGGACCGUGUACAAGUCUCCUGGGAUGGAGCGUCAUAGAGGGUGAGAAUCCCGUCUCUGACACGGACUACCAGGGCUUUGUGGUGCGCUCUCAAAGAGUCGAGUUGUUUGGGAAUGCAGCUCUAAAUGGGUGGUAAAUUCCAUCUAAAGCUAAAUAUUGGCGAGAGACCGAUAGCGAACAAGUACCGUGAGGGAAAGAUGAAAAGAACUUUGGAAAGAGAGUUAAACAGUACGUGAAAUUGCUGAAAGGGAAACGCUUGAAGUCAGUCGCGUUAACUGGGGAUCAGCCUCGCUCUUGCGUGGUGUACUUCCUGGUUGACGGGUCAGCAUCAAUUUUGGUCGCUGGAAAAAGAUCUAGGGAAUGUGGCAUCUUCGGAUGUGUUAUAGCCCUUUUUCAUAUACAGCGGUUGGGAUUGAGGAACUCAGCACGCCGCAAGGCCGGGUUUCGACCACGUUCGUGCUUAGGAUGCUGGCAUAAUGGCUUUAAUCGACCCGUCUUGAAACACGGACCAAGGAGUCUAACAUGCCUGCGAGUGUUUGGGUGGAAAACCCGAGCGCGUAAUGAAAGUGAAAGUUGAGAUCCCUGUCGCGGGGAGCAUCGACGCCCGGACCAGAACUUUUGGGACGGAUCUGCGGUAGAGCAUGUAUGUUGGGACCCGAAAGAUGGUGAACUAUGCCUGAAUAGGGUGAAGCCAGAGGAAACUCUGGUGGAGGCUCGUAGCGAUUCUGACGUGCAAAUCGAUCGUCAAAUUUGGGUAUAGGGGCGAAAGACUAAUCGAACCAUCUAGUA